rnacentral:lncRNA from 1 species
AUGUGAAGAGCAGCUCUAUAGAUGCCCCUUGUACUCUUGGGUGUAUUUUGGUGGGCAUCGUAGUAAAGAUGUAAUUUUACAGCUAGGGAUUCAGGGAAACCUCCCUCCAGAGUGGCUCCUGUCGGUGAAAAGACUGCUUCAAGUCCAAUCUCACCCGCCUCCCUCUGUCGUUGCAGAGAAAUCUAACAAAGCCAAGAAGAAGUCACCCAAGUUUUUCUCGCUGACUCCAUCGACUUCAAGUGUUCCCUGUGCCAGGUUGAAAAAGGCCUUGUGUGCACCAGAAGAAAUGAACAGAUUCUUUUCAUCUCCGUUUUCCAAGGCUAUCGUGCUGGACUGUUUCUGGUGGAUCUUUCAUGAAAGAUACGAUGUAAGGAAGGAAGGCGGAGCAGAUGAAGUCUGGCUCCAGGAGAGAGGAGGGAAGUGAUGAAAACUCAUCGCUGCCCUGAUGUCUCUUUGGUGCCUCUGGGCUCAGGGCUGUAGCCAUGACCGUCCUUAAGACUUCCCAACAGUUUGGCAGACAGACUCGGAGGUUGGGCUUGUCCUCCCAUGACGCCUCGUCUUAGGUGAAG